AUUGAACGCUGGCGGCAUGCCUUACACAUGCAAGUAGAACGGCAGCAUGAUCUAGCUUGCUAGAUUGAUGGCGAGUGGCGAACGGGUGAGUAAUACAUCGGAACGUGCCCUGUAGUGGGGGAUAACUAGUCGAAAGAUUAGCUAAUACCGCAUACGACCUGAGGGUGAAAGUGGGGGACCGCAAGGCCUCAUGCUAUAGGAGCGGCCGAUGUCUGAUUAGCUAGUUGGUGAGGUAAAGGCUCACCAAGGCGACGAUCAGUAGCUGGUCUGAGAGGACGAUCAGCCACACUGGGACUGAGACACGGCCCAGACUCCUACGGGAGGCAGCAGUGGGGAAUUUUGGACAAUGGGCGAAAGCCUGAUCCAGCAAUGCCGCGUGUGUGAAGAAGGCCUUCGGGUUGUAAAGCACUUUUGUCCGGAAAGAAAUGGCUCUGGUUAAUACCUGGGGUCGAUGACGGUACCGGAAGAAUAAGGACCGGCUAACUACGUG
rnacentral:rRNA from 1 species